rnacentral:rRNA from 1 species
AGUCGAGGGGUAAAGUCUUCGGACUUUGAGACCGGCGCACGGGUGCGUAACGCGUAUGCAAUCUGCCUUACACUAAGGGAUAGCCCAGAGAAAUUUGGAUUAAUACCUUAUAGUAUAUAGAAGAGGAGUCUCUUUCAUAUUAAAGUCACAACGGUGUAAGAUGAGCAUGCGUCCCAUUAGCUAGUUGGUAUGGUAACGGCAUACCAAGGCUAUGAUGGGUAGGGGUCCUGAGAGGGAGAUCCCCCACACUGGUACUGAGACACGGACCAGACUCCUACGGGAGGCAGCAGUGAGGAAUAUUGGUCAAUGGGCGCAAGCCUGAACCAGCCAUGCCGCGUGCAGGAUGACGCAUCUAUGGUGUGUAAACUGCUUUUGUACGGGAAGAAACCCUUGCUCGUGAGCAAGAUUGACAGUACCGUAAGAAUAAGGAUCGGCUAACUCCGUGCCAGCAGCCGCGGUAAUACGGAGGAUCCAAGCGUUAUCCGGAAUCAUUGGGUUUAAAGGGUCCGUAGGCGGUUUUAUAAGUCAGUGGUGAAAUCCGGCAGCUCAACUGUCGAACUGCCAUUGAUACUGUAGGACUUGAAUUAUUGUGAAGUAACUAGAAUAUGUAGUGUAGCGGUGAAAUGCUUAGAUAUUACAUGGAAUACCCAUUGCGAAGGCAGGUUACUAACAAUACAUUGACGCUGAUGGACGAAAGCGUGGGGAGCGAACAGGAUUAGAUACCCUGGUAGUCCACGCCGUAAACGAUGGAUACUAGCUGUU